AUUGAACGCUGGCGGAAUGCUUUACACAUGCAAGUCGAACGGCAGCACGGGAGCUUGCUCCUGGUGGCGAGUGGCGAACGGGUGAGUAAUGCAUCGGAACGUGCCCAUUUGUGGGGGAUAACUAGACGAAAGACUAGCUAGUACCGCAUAAGCUCGAGAGAGGAAAGCGGGGGAUCGUAAGACCACGCGCAGAUGGAGCGGCCGAUGUCCGAUUAGCUAGUUGGUGAGGUAAAGGCUCACCAAGGCGACGAUCGGUAGCUGGUCUGAGAGGACGACCAGCCACACUGGGACUGAGACACGGCCCAGACUCCUACGGGAGGCAGCAGUGGGGAAUUUUGGACAAUGGGGGCAACCCUGAUCCAGCCAUUCCGCGUGUGGGAAGAAGGCCUUCGGGUUGUAAACCACUUUCGGACGGGAAGAAAUCGACGUGACGAAUAAUCGUGUCGGAUGACGGUACCGUAAGAAGAAGCACCGGCUAACUACGUGCCAGCAGCCGCCGUAA
rnacentral:rRNA from 1 species